UACGAAGGGGGCUAGCGUUGCUCGGAAUCACUGGGCGUAAAGCGCACGUAGGCGGCUUCUUAAGUCAGGGGUGAAAUCCUGGAGCUCAACUCCAGAACUGCCUUUGAUACUGAGGAGCUUGAGUCCGGGAGAGGUGAGUGGAACUCCGAGUGUAGAGGUGAAAUUCGUAGAUAUUCGGAAGAACACCAGUGGCGAAGGCGGCUCACUGGCCCGGUACUGACGCUGAGGUGCGAAAGCGUGGGGAGCAAACAGG
rnacentral:rRNA from 1 species